rnacentral:lncRNA from 1 species
UCUUGUGUACAAUUUGGAAAUUAGUAUGGCGUUCAUUAUCACUGGACUAGUAUAUAUUUGUUUAGGGGCCAGCUGAAGGACGCCUCCGGGUGCGGGAAUUUCUCGCUACAUUGAAGACCUGUUGGUGACCCUCUGCUGUUGUUUUUAUUUGGUCGGGUUGUUGUCUCUUUGACACAUUCCCCAUUUCCAUUCUCAAUUUUAUAAUCA